UACGGAGGGUGCAAGCGUUAUCCGGAUUCACUGGGUUUAAAGGGUGCGCAGGCGGGCAGGUAAGUCCGUUGUGAAAUCUCUGAGCUUAACUCAGAAACUGCCAUGGAUACUAUUUGUCUUGAAUAUUGUGGAGGUAAGCGGAAUAUGUCAUGUAGCGGUGAAAUGCUUAGAUAUGACAUAGAACACCAAUUGCGAAGGCAGCUUACUACACAGUUAUUGACGCUGAGGCACGAAAGCGUGGGGAUCAAACAGG
rnacentral:rRNA from 1 species